rnacentral:rRNA from 1 species
AGAUUGAACGCUGGCGGCAGGCCUAACACAUGCAAGUCGAGCGGUAGAGAGGUGCUUGCAUCUCUUGAGAGCGGCGGACGGGUGAGUAAUGCCUAGGAAUCUGCCUAGUGGUGGGGGAUAACGUUCGGAAACGGACGCUAAUACCGCAUACGUCCUACGGGAGAAAGCGGGGGACCUUCGGGCCUCGCGCCAUUAGAUGAGCCUAGGUCGGAUUAGCUAGUUGGUGAGGUAAUGGCUCACCAAGGCGACGAUCCGUAACUGGUCUGAGAGGAUGAUCAGUCGCACUGGAACUGAGACACGGUCCAGACUCCUACGGGAGGCAGCAGUGGGGAAUAUUGGACAAUGGGCGAAAGCCUGAUCCAGCCAUGCCGCGUGUGUGAAGAAGGUCUUCGGAUUGUAAAGCACUUUAAGUGGAGAAGGCAGUUACCUAAUACGUAUCUGUUUUGACGUUACCGACAGAAUAAGCACCGGCUAACUCUGUG